rnacentral:misc_RNA from 1 species
GCCACUUGUGGAAAUCACUCAGAAAGGAAGAAGUGACUUGAAAUCUUUAGCUGCUAAAGUUCUAUCUCACUUGAAUGUGCUUCCUGAACAGUCUUCCUUUUUCUAACGGCCGCAUCUACACUGAAGCAUAGCACAUUUCAUACCGUUGAUUUUUAGUAUCUCGAUCUGUUUAAUACACACAUUUUUUGAAUGGGAUCUGUCAAUUAUGAAUCUUAGUCUUUCAUAUGUAAACUGCCUCGUGGUGUAAAAACAAAUUUGAAGAUCAAUGAGUAAUUGUCAU